rnacentral:lncRNA from 1 species
AUGGUUGCAAUUAGGUUGCAGUCAGAAUCGUGGAAUGAAUUCUGCAAGCAGAAUCAUGGAAAGGAUCAAGUUCAUGAACUGACGUACCACUGCAUUCUCCUGAAUGCUCCUCUUUUCUUCUCAAUAACACCACAGCAGUACAUUCCCAUCAAGUCCUCCAUGAUUACCCAGCCUGGGAUGGCUUCCUACCUCUCAGUUUCCCACAGACAAUACCAUUCAUCCCUGCUCAGAGAGUUGUGGUGGAAGAGACACCAUCAUUCACUAGAAUGAAAGGACGUUGGAUGUUAAGAAGAAACUGUAAUGAGUUUCUUUCUCUGAGUGCUACUUUUUGUUCUGUUCGCCUGUGGGACUGCAGAUGGAACUGGGUC